GUUACCUACGAGCUGUGCCGCCAAACACACCGACCCCUUCAGCCUCUGGCCCGGUCCUCUGCUGCUCCUCUCGCUGUCAAGCAUCCUCUGAGGCCACUCUUCGCCGCCGGAGAGUCUCCGAGCUUGCGAGGCCGAGUUGACAUGCUGCCUGUUCGCUCAACCUUUGAGCCCAGAGGUCAGCUCGCUGGUGCUGUUUUUCUUUCCAAUCCAGACUGACAAACCGCCUGUUCUGGGGGCAUGGAUCUGAACCAAAACUUGGGCAUUGCUUUAGAAUGCCAACAAUCCAAGUUCAAUCCCAGAAGUUCAGAGUCCAAGCCACAGCGCACGAAGCACCGAGCUGCUCACAGAGACCCAAUGGAGAACAUGAACACAUACACCGCUGCAGGAUGUGUAUGUAUGCAGUGCUGAACCCACAUGGGCUCCCUACGACUUUGAUCAGAAGUGAAGAACAAGAAGCGAGGAUGAACAAGCACCGUGUGGGCCAGACUAAAUGAAAGAAGGACAGAGGAGAGCUGAGGGACUUGGAAAUUCCAGGUGCACCUGUAUCCAGAGAGAAUUAUGAAGCCAUUACCACGCAACUGUUCGUGGACAGUUUCAAAGCAGAACUACAGAAAUCUGCCUUUAACUUUACAUUCAUUAAUUUUGUUACAAUAAUAUUUUUUUUCCCGUUUAUGUCCUGUGCUGUGACUCUGAGGUCAAGUGGAGAAAAACAAAAAAGGUACCCGUGUGAGACAUUGUCUACCCUCUUGCUUUUUAUUCUUCGUGAGAGCAGCAUUUGGUAGAACACUAAUUGCGUCUCGUUGGGAUAUGUGGGAGGACUGAGAGACAAAGAACGACACAGAGGUAGAAGGAAACGGGGACAGGUGACUCAGACUGAAAAAGCUAAUUGUGCUCUGUGAAUUCUGCCAUCGAUAUUAAGUCACAUUAUUAACUUGAACCUUUUUCUUACUAUAUUCUAAUGGUAUAUUUAAGUAAGCCGCUAAAUGGCUACUAAAUGGCUCACCUACCAUUAUAGAGAGGCAUCACUAUGGUUGUGGGAACAUUUAUUUUGCUUUUAAUCAUCAUAAUAUUAUAUUAUGCGCCAACAUGAACGUGUUUUAAGGCUCAGCGUCAGCAUCCAGAAAAGUCUACCAGGUAAACCAAGAACUUUUUCUGCCGUUUUCCCAUAAUUAUCAGCAUAAACACCUGCAUUACUGCAGAGGCUACAUGUGCCUUACCAUCUGUGUCACAGCACCAGUUUAUCACGCUGACCGAGAAAAGAACUGGAGAUGCUUGAACUCUCCUGGCUGUAUGAGACAGCCCUCUUCUUUCAAGCAGAGAACACUGCUAAAUGUGCACAUCGGCAAUAAUAGUCAAAAAAGACAGAACAACUUCCACCCACCCCUAGCUACUUGAAUUAUUUCCAGGAAUAUAGACACAACCACCCUCACACUAUACAUUUUACAUGGGAAACAUAGCAUAACAUCAUAAACACCAGAUGACAAUGAUCAGCAGCUCAGCUGAAAGCUUAGAGUGAGCUACUGGUCUGUUGCACCAAGCCAUAUGUUUACAUUAACAAUGGAUCAAAUGACUGAAAUGUA